rnacentral:hammerhead_ribozyme from 1 species
AGCCGAAACGGCCCCGCGGGCCGUCUGCCGGGGAUGGCCGCCCGGUACUGAUGAGGCAGGCCGGA